rnacentral:tRNA from 1 species
GCCGCUUUAGCUCAGUUGGUAGAGCACAUCAUUCGUAAUGAUGGGGUCAGCUACGUCCCUUGCCCUCGAUCAUUUUCGCGCGGCGUCA